UAGGGAAUCUUCGGCAAUGGACGAAAGUCUGACCGAGCAACGCCGCGUGAGUGAAGAAGGUUUUCGGAUCGUAAAACUCUGUUGUUAGAGAAGAACAAGGACGUUAGUAACUGAACGUCCCCUGACGGUAUCUAACCAGAAAGCCACGGCUAACUACGUGCCAGCAGCCGCGGUAAUACGUAGGUGGCAAGCGUUGUCCGGAUUUAUUGGGCGUAAAGCGAGCGCAGCGGUUUCUUAAGUCUGAUGUGAAAGCCCCCGGCUCAACCGGGGAGGGUCAUUGGAAACUGGGAGACUUGAGUGCAGAAGAGGAGAGUGGAAUUCCAUGUGUAGCGGUGAAAUGCGUAGAUAUAUGGAGGAACACCAGUGGCGAAGGCGGCUCUCUGGUCUGUAACUGACGCUGAGGCUCGAAAGCGUGGGGAGCAAACAGG
rnacentral:rRNA from 1 species